UUGAGAGAUAAGAAUGAAAGGCAACCAACAAAGAAAAAAUACAAUGAGUCGCUUUAUUGGCUGCCCUGAAUGACCUCCUGCUUAACAUUAAAUAUAUUCUUAAGAACUGAAUACAAUUUAUUCAUCCGCGCGACCCAGAGCCAGAAUGAAAUGGCUUUUGGGAGUCCUACACCUGGAAAUAUUCUGUCUUUCUGCAAGGAAGGGAAUUAGAAAUUACACAAGAUGACCUGGAAAUCAUCAAGAUUGACCAUUCGUUCAGCGUUAUGGAACAAGGCUUUCAGAUGCUGCUCAAAUGGUUUCAAAGUUGCGAUCCAGCGAAACGUACACCUCAAACAUUAAAAGAAGCUCUU
rnacentral:lncRNA from 1 species